UGGGGAAUUUUUCGCAAUGGGGGCAACCCUGACGAAGCAAUGCCGCGUGGAUGAAGAAGGCCUUCGGGUUGUAAAGUCCUUUCGUGGGGGACGAAAAGGUGGUUCCUAAUACGAGCUGCUGUUGACGUGAACCCAAGAAGAAGCACCGGCUAACUCCGUGCCAGCAGCCGCGGUAAUACGGGGGGUGCAAGCGUUAAUCGGAAUCACUGGGCGUAAAGGGUGCGUAGGCGGUACGUUAGGUCUGUCGUGAAAUCCCCGGGCUCAACCUGGGAAUGGCGGUAGAAACCGGCGCACUAGAGUAUGGGAGAGGGUGGUGGAAUUCCAGGUGUAGCGGUGAAAUGCGUAGAGAUCUGGAGGAACAUCAGUGGCGAAGGCGGCCACCUGGCCCAAUACUGACGCUGAGGCACGAAAGCGUGGGGAGCAAACAGG
rnacentral:rRNA from 1 species